rnacentral:rRNA from 1 species
UACGGGGGGGGCAAGCGUUGUUCGGAAUUACUGGGCGUAAAGGGCUCGUAGGUGGCCAACUAAGUCAGACGUGAAAUCCCUCGGCUUAACCGGGGAACUGCGUCUGAUACUGGAUGGCUUGAGUGUGGGAGAGGGAUGCGGAAUUCCAGGUGUAGCGGUGAAAUGCGUAGAUAUUGGGAAGAACACCUGAGGCGAAGGCGGGUUGCUGGGCUGAUACUGACGCUGAGGCGCGAAAGCCAGGGGAGCAAACGGG